UGCUGGAUUUACAGAGCCUGGAUCCAGCCGGAAGAAGACAAAGAAUGGCUUUCGUUUGCCCGGCUGGAUUUCAGCACUUUGAGCCUCUGCCCCAAGGUGUCCUGGGGGCACCUGCCACUUUUCUGUGGCUUAUGGAGGAAGUCGUUGGAAACAUGAAAUCUGAACCUAACGAUGGAUAUCUGAAUGGCGUCAUCAAUGUCCUGCAAAGAUAGGAGAAAAGCCAGAUGGAAAGGUUGUGUCAGCCACAGGAAAUAGGUCUGAAACUGUGACAAACUUCAGUCGCACAAAAUUCUGUCUAAUAUGUGAAUCAUGGAGCAUCUCAGCAAGGAGAGAGCACAGGAGAAAACGAAAAUAGUCCUCAAGUGGCCACCUGCAAAGGGCCUUUGAGUCUGGGGGAUUUCUCUAGGAUUUGGUGGCCAUUAUCACAAAUGGGUAAUUGUUGUGCUGUUGUUGCUUAGCCCACUGAGGUGAUGCAAUGGGAAAAGUGCCAGGUCUGGAGUCAGAUUCAUCUUCCUCAAAUACUUACUAGCUGUGUGACCCUGGGUCAGUCACUUUACCCUGUCUGCCUCAGUUUUCUCAUCUGUCAAACGAACUGGAGAAAGAAAUGGCAAGUCACAGCAAGCCAAGACAGCCCCUGAAAGUAACCAGAAUGACUGAACAAUGACAAGUCUCCCUUAUGAGCAUUAUUGAGAUUCAGAAGUAGAUGGGCAUUUGGGAGCUGCCUGAGACCAGCAGGGGAUGCUUGGUUGGGCCCGGGGGCUCAGAGGAGGACGCAGAAGAGUCGUUUCUCGCGGAAGGGGUUCUCGGCCGCGGGCAGCGGGGUCACCAGCGGGUCCUCCUUCACGUGCGCCUCGCAGAAGGCCAGCAGCUCGGCCGCAGCUUUGGACACCUGAGGCGGGACGUAAAGGGUUAAGAGCCUCGCCGGCCACCACCCGCCCAGGCUCGCCGAGGCCCUCUCGGGAGACACCUUCUGGUCGAGUCUGGAACUGCACCGAGCGGUGCCGGAGCGCAGCGCCACCACGUGGCCAGAGCUGCGAUCGCACUCCUUCCCAGAUCUAAUGAGAGCCGCGCCCCCGCGUGGCCGAGCUUAGGCAUGCAGCCUCACCCUGCCGCCUGUCAGGGACCCCCACGGGCGGGGCCGGUCUAGGCUCCCCGCCCAGUCCUGGUACCCCUAGCGCCCCUCCCUGGCCCAGCCCUAAAUCUCAGCCUCCCUCUUUUCCUCCCGGCAGCGACACCCGCUGGCCGAUCCCAAAACUGCAGCAGAGAUGGGAGAACAUGAGUCUCUUCUGGUGCCUGAUGUCAACAGUGACAGCCUGGCGAGUGCAGCCCUUGGCGUUACAGAUCAGAAAACUGAAGAGAUCAGGGAGCAAGAGGAGGGGCCAGGAUUCACACCCAGCCAAAGCCAGCACUCCCCUUCCCCCUGCACCCAUUUUACAGGGAGGGAAACUGAGGCUCGGGAAACGGACCGGCCGGAUCCUCAGCUCCAGCCGAGGUCCCUGCUAGAGCCCUGACCGCCAAGAAGGACUCGCGUUCGUACAGAGAAUGUCCACCUCGGAAGGGACCUCGGUCAUCAGCUGCCUCAGGGCCCCCGCCCUCCAUGGCCGCCCAGCCCCGCUUGAAGACUCCCCCUGAAGGAGAACCCACCCCCUCCGAAGGAAGCCUAGGUUUCCCUGUUUGCUCCGAGCUUGCCCUUUGCGUACAAAUAAAACAAGCCCAAUCUCUUCCACACUUAAGUACUCACAGAGAUAUCAUAGAGAGCCCCCAGCCUUCUCUUCUCCAACCCCCCCUUCUCCAACUUAUGGCCUUGAAAGUGGGGGAGGAAGGGGGAACUGAGGUGUGUACCUGGCCCUGGGUCCCAUAGCCAAGAUAUGCCCGAGGCAGCAGGGAAACCCAGGCUGAAAUCAGGAAAACCUAAAUCCAAAUCCUUCAUCAAACCCUUACUGUCCGUGUGACCCUGGGCAAGUCACUCUGAUGCUUUGUGACUCAACGUCCCCACUAGAAAGGGCCAACACAGGUUUUAAACCCAAGCCCCUGUGACCAUGGCUCUGAGGCUAGUUCUCGAUUACACCACACCGGCUCUAUCUGGAGUAUAUUGCCCUUUUAUCCCCUAAAAUUAUGCUUUUCUUCAUGUGACUCGUGAUGGCAUCACUCCUUCUUUCCUUCCUUCUUUCUCUUUCCUCUUCCUCUUCCUCCUCUUUUUCUUCUUCCUCUUCCAUAUCACAUUGUUGAUUCAUACUAAGUUUAUAAUCCAUUAAUGAGCCUGUUUUUUUUUCCACAUAAACUUCUAUCUAAGCAUCUUGAGUGAAGGUUCAAGAAGGUUCAAGAAAACCUAAGUAUAAAGCUUUACUUUUAUCCUUAUUGAUUUAGCUCUAGGUCCUGAUUAGUGUGGAUAAUGAAUCCCCUGAAUUGGUCCUUUAUUUGAAUUUGCACUGCUUAUUUCCAUUGGGCUGAAACCAGUUACAAUAUUUGACAUAAUCGUAUCUUCAAAUAAAUACGUUUAACCUCUUCAGGGGAUUUGUUGUUUUUAUUCAUUAAAACCUGGCUGAACAUCUCUAGCCUGUCAAGAUCUUUGGGAAU
ensembl:lncRNA